rnacentral:rRNA from 1 species
GGGUUGUGAGGUUAAGCGACUAAGCGUACACGGUGGAUGCCCUGGCAGUCAGAGGCGAUGAAGGACGUGCUAAUCUGCGAUAAGCGUCGGUAAGGUGAUAUGAACCGUUAUAACCGGCGAUUUCCGAAUGGGGAAACCCAGUGUGAUUCGUCACACUAUCGUUAACUGAAUACAUAGGUUAACGAAGCGAACCGGGGGAACUGAAACAUCUAAGUACCCCGAGGAAAAGAAAUCAACCGAGAUUCCCCCAGUAGCGGCGAGCGAACGGGGAGCAGCCCAGAGUCUGAAUCAGCUUGUGUGUUAGUGGAACGGUCUGGAAAGUCCGACGGUACAGGGUGAUAGUCCCGUACACCAAAAUGCACAGGUUGUGAACUCGAAGAGUAGGGCGGGACACGUGGUAUCCUGUCUGAAUAUGGGGGGACCAUCCUCCAAGGCUAAAUACUCCUGACUGACCGAUAGUGAACCAGUACCGUGAGGGAAAGGCGAAAAGAACCCCGGCGAGGGGAGUGAAAAAGAACCUGAAACCGUGUACGUACAAGCAGUGGGAGCCUCUUUAUGGGGUGACUGCGUACCUUUUGUAUAAUGGGUCAGCGACUUAUAUUCUGUAGCAAGGUUAACCGUAUAGGGGAGCCGAAGGGAAACCGAGUCUUAACUGGGCGUUAAGUUGCAGGGUAUAGACCCGAAACCCGGUGAUCUAGCCAUGGGCAGGUUGAAGGUUGGGUAACACUAACUGGAGGACCGAACCGACUAAUGUUGAAAAAUUAGCGGAUGACUUGUGGCUGGGGGUGAAAGGCCAAUCAAACCGGGAGAUAGCUGGUUCUCCCCGAAAGCUAUUUAGGUAGCGCCUCGUGAAUUCAUCUUCGGGGGUAGAGCACUGUUUCGGCUAGGGGGUCAUCCCGACUUACCAACCCGAUGCAAACUGCGAAUACCGAAGAAUGUUAUCACGGGAGACACACGGCGGGUGCUAACGUCCGUCGUGAAGAGGGAAACAACCCAGACCGCCAGCUAAGGUCCCAAAGUCAUGGUUAAGUGGGAAACGAUGUGGGAAGGCACAGACAGCCAGGAUGUUGGCUUAGAAGCAGCCAUCAUUUAAAGAAAGCGUAAUAGCUCACUGGUCGAGUCGGCCUGCGCGGAAGAUGUAACGGGGCUAAACCAUGCACCGAAGCUGCGGCAGCGACACUAUGUGUUGUUGGGUAGGGGAGCGUUCUGUAAGCCGUUGAAGGUGUAUCGUGAGGUAUGCUGGAGGUAUCAGAAGUGCGAAUGCUGACAUAAGUAACGAUAAUGCGGGUGAAAAACCCGCACGCCGGAAGACCAAGGGUUCCUGUCCAACGUUAAUCGGGGCAGGGUGAGUCGACCCCUAAGGCGAGGCCGAAAGGCGUAGUCGAUGGGAAACAGGUUAAUAUUCCUGUACUUGGUGUUACUGCGAAGGGGGGACGGAGAAGGCUAUGUUAGCCGGGCGACGGUUGUCCCGGUUUAAGCAUGUAGGCGGAGGUUCCAGGUAAAUCCGGUACCUUUUAACGCUGAGGUGUGAUGACGAGGCACUACGGUGCUGAAGUAACAAAUGCCCUGCUUCCAGGAAAAGCCUCUAAGCAUCAGGUAACACGAAAUCGUACCCCAAACCGACACAGGUGGUCAGGUAGAGAAUACCAAGGCGCUUGAGAGAACUCGGGUGAAGGAACUAGGCAAAAUGGUGCCGUAACUUCGGGAGAAGGCACGCUGAUAUGUAGGUGAAGUGAUUUACUCAUGGAGCUGAAAUCAGUCGAAGAUACCAGCUGGCUGCAACUGUUUAUUAAAAACACAGCACUGUGCAAACACGAAAGUGGACGUAUACGGUGUGACGCCUGCCCGGUGCCGGAAGGUUAAUUGAUGGGGUUAUCCGUAAGGAGAAGCUCUUGAUCGAAGCCCCGGUAAACGGCGGCCGUAACUAUAACGGUCCUAAGGUAGCGAAAUUCCUUGUCGGGUAAGUUCCGACCUGCACGAAUGGCGUAAUGAUGGCCAGGCUGUCUCCACCCGAGACUCAGUGAAAUUGAACUCGCUGUGAAGAUGCAGUGUACCCGCGGCAAGACGGAAAGACCCCGUGAACCUUUACUAUAGCUUGACACUGAACACUGGUCCUUGAUGUGUAGGAUAGGUGGGAGGCUUUGAAGUGUGGACGCCAGUCUGCAUGGAGCCAUCCUUGAAAUACCACCCUUUAAUGGCUGGUGUUCUAACGUGGACCCGUAAUCCGGGUUGCGGACAGUGUCUGGUGGGUAGUUUGACUGGGGCGGUCUCCUCCUAAAGAGUAACGGAGGAGCACGAAGGUUAGCUAAUCCUGGUCGGACAUCAGGAGGUUAGUGCAAAGGCAUAAGCUAGCUUGACUGCGAGAGUGACGGCUCGAGCAGGUGCGAAAGCAGGUCUUAGUGAUCCGGUGGUUCUGAAUGGAAGGGCCAUCGCUCAACGGAUAAAAGGUACUCCGGGGAUAACAGGCUGAUACCGCCCAAGAGUUCAUAUCGACGGCGGUGUUUGGCACCUCGAUGUCGGCUCAUCACAUCCUGGGGCUGAAGUAGGUCCCAAGGGUAUGGCUGUUCGCCAUUUAAAGUGGUACGCGAGCUGGGUUUAGAACGUCGUGAGACAGUUCGGUCCCUAUCUGCCGUGGGCGCUGGAGAAUUGAGGGGGGCUGCUCCUAGUACGAGAGGACCGGAGUGGACGCAUCACUGGUGUUCGGGUUGUCAUGCCAAUGGCAUUGCCCGGUAGCUAAAUGCGGAAGAGAUAAGUGCUGAAAGCAUCUAAGCACGAAACUUGCCCCGAGAUGAGUUCUCCCUGAGACUAUAAGUCUCCUGAAGGAACGUUGAAGACGACGACGUUGAUAGGUCGGGUGUGUAAGUGUAGCGAUACAUUGAGCUAACCGAUACUAAUGAACCGUGAGGCUUAACCUUACAACGCCGAAG